UCCUGGCUCAGGACGAACGCUGGCGGCGUGCCUAACACAUGCAAGUCGAACGGAGUGAAACGCUGAUUUGACGGUAGCUUGCUACUUGAUUUUCUUGUUUCACUUAGUGGCGGACGGGUGAGUAACGCGUGAGCAACCUGCCUCUAAGUGGGGAAUAACAUUUGGAAACGAAUGGUAAUACCGCAUAAUAUAUAUUUGCCGCAUGACAGAUAUAUCAAAGAUUUAUCGCUUAGAGAUGGGCUCGCGUCCGAUUAGCUAGUUGGUGAGGUAACGGCUCACCAAGGCGACGAUCGGUAGCCGGACUGAGAGGUUGAACGGCCACAUUGGGACUGAGACACGGCCCAGACUCCUACGGGAGGCAGCAGUGGGGGAUAUUGCGCAAUGGGGGAAACCCUGACGCAGCAACGCCGCGUGAAGGAUGAAGGUUUUCGGAUUGUAAACUUCUUUUGUUAGGGACGAAUUUUGACGGUACCUAACGAAUAAGCUCCGGCUAACUACGUGCCAGCAGCCGCGGUAAUACGUAGGGAGCAAGCGUUGUCCGGAUUUACUGGGUGUAAAGGGUGCGUAGGCGGCUUUGCAAGUCAGAUGUGAAAUUUAUGGGCUCAACCCAUAAACUGCAUUUGAAACUGCUUAGCUUGAGUGAAGUAGAGGCAGGCGGAAUUCCCUGUGUAGCGGUGAAAUGCGUAGAGAUAGGGAGGAACACCAGUGGCGAAGGCGGCCUGCUGGGCUUUUACUGACGCUGAGGCACGAAAGCGUGGGUAGCAAACAGGAUUAGAUACCCUGGUAGUCCACGCUGUAAACGAUGAUUACUAGGUGUGGGGGGUCUGACCCCUUCCGCGCCGCAGUUAACACAAUAAGUAAUCCACCUGGGGAGUA
rnacentral:rRNA from 1 species